rnacentral:rRNA from 1 species
CUUAGAGUAAUGUCUAAGUAUCAUUAAGUGAAUACAUAGCUUAAUGAGGGGAACUCAGGGAACUGAAACAUCUAAGUACCUGAAGGAAGAGAAAGAAAUUCGAUUCCGUAAGUAGCGGCGAGCGAACGCGGAUUAGCCCAAACUAAUAAAGUUUUCUUUAUUGGGGUUGCGGACAUAUCAUAACGAAGAGGUAUCGUAAUUGAAGAGGUUUGGAAAGACCCACCACAGAAGGUAAUAGUCCUGUAUGUUAAACGAGAAGACUUUAGAUAUGAUCCAGAGUACCACGGGACACGUGAAACCCUGUGGGAAGCAGGAGGGACCACCCUCCAAGGCUAAAUACUACCUAGUGACCGAUAGCGUAUAGUACCGUGAGGGAAAGGUGAAAAGAACCCCGGGAGGGGAGUGAAAUAGAACCUGAAACCCUGCACUUACAAGCUGUGGAAGCACAUUUCUUGUGUGACCGCGUACUUUUUGUAGAACGGGCCAACGAGUUACGUUAAGUAGCAAGGUUAAGCACUUAAGGUGCGGAGCCGUAGCGAAAGCGAGUUUUAACUGAGCGUUCAGUUACUUGACGUAGACCCGAAACCGGGCGACCUACCCAUGAGCAGGAUGAAGCGAAAGUAAAAUUUCGUGGAGGUCCGAACCCACGAGCGUUGAAAAGCUCGGGGAUGACUUGUGGGUAGCGGUGAAAUUCCAAUCGAGCCCGGAGAUAGCUGGUUCUCCCCGAAA